GCUUGUCUCAAAGAUUAAGCCAUGCAUGUCUAAGUGUAAAUACGUCUACACUGUGAAACUGCGAAUGGCUCAUUACAUCAGUUAUAGUUUAUUUGAUGGUCCUUGCUACUUGGAUAACCGUAGUAAUUCUAGAGCUAAUACAUGCGUCAAAACCCAACUUCUGGGAGGGUUGUAUUUAUUAGAUGGAAACCAAUGCGGGGCAACCCGGUAUAUGGUGAUUCAUAAUAACUUUCGGAUCGAUCUUCGGAUCGAUGCAUCAUUCAAGUUUCUGCCCUAUCAGCUUUGGAUGGUAGGGUAUUGGCCUACCAUGGCUUUAACGGGUAACGGAGAAUUAGGGUUCGAUUCCGGAGAGGGAGCCUGAGAAAUGGCUACCACAUCCAAGGAAGGCAGCAGG
rnacentral:rRNA from 1 species